rnacentral:sRNA from 2 species
GACCGGUACAACUGUGCACAUCCUGGAUCCGUCACUCUUAGCCUGAGACAUCCCCGGCCAAUGGAUGGAACACUGAUUCCAACUUUGUUCAUAUUGCGGAGGGAUUGCGCGGAGAGUCAGUAUCGCUGGUAUCGGGGAGAAUCAUUCCACCUUUUUGUUCUCUUUUUUGCAAGCAUGGUUCACGUCGCAUUCUUGAGAACUUGAAUGUUUGCUGAGCUUGCCAGCGAAAUACAACUAGUCAACUAACUAGUGAACUAACUUUAGCUUUAACAAUAGAAAGCACUCGUAGUGGAUUUGUAGAGGUC